ACAUAGAGAGACCCCAUUUCUACAGAAAAUUUUAAAAAUUAGCUGGGUAAGGUGGCAUGCACCUGUGGUUCUAGCUACUUGGGAAGCUGAGGCAGGAAGAAUGCUUGACCCUGGGAGGUCAAGGCUGCAAUGAGCUGUGAUGAUUGUGCCACUGCAUUCCAGCUUGGGCAACAGAGAGAGAGGCCCUGUCACCAAGUAAAAAAAAAAAAAAAAAAGCGGGACAAAUUUAUGAAGGGAACAGCAUUUUCAUAAAAUUAAUGUGACUGGUGUAUGGAGUAGGAAAAGAGACUGGAGAAUGAGACCAAUACAGUUAUUGCAAUAAUCUAAGUAGAAGGUCUCAGGCCAUCAUAAUGGAUAGAAAGGGAUAAGAGAAGACAUCAUUCAAAGGAAGAAUCCUGGUGGUGAUUGGUUGGACAUGUGGUAAAAAGGAAGGAGUCAAAAUCAACCCUUAAAGUGUUUUUUUUCUUUUCUCUUUUUUCAGAGGCAGGGCCCAGGCUGGAGAGCAGUGGCAUAAUCAUAGUUCACAGCAGGCUCAAACUUCUGGGUUCAAGUGAUCCUCCUACCUCAGCCUCCCGUGUAGCUGGGACUACAGGCCCACACCACUACACUUGGCUUUUUCCGUAGAGAGGAUCUCACUUUUCUUGCUCAGGCUGGUCUCAAACUCCUGGCCUCAAGCAGUCCUUCUACCCCAGCCUCUGAAAGUGCUGGGACCACAGGCGUGAGACACUGUGCCCUGCCUAAUCCUUAAAGUUUUUAGCCUGGAAGACUCAGAGAAUGAAAUGGUAGUGGUGCUGUUAACAGAAUAGGGAAGUUGAGAAGAGAUGCAAGUCUAAGCAGAAAAUGCAUUUGUGUGUGUGCUGGGGGAGGGUGUUGAGGGCAGGAAAGUUCAGUCGAUGUGACCUAACAAGCUGAAUGUUACACCAUUUAGGUGAUAGAGGAAUUGAGGGCAGAAGUCUUGGAGGCUGCUGGGAAUCUGAGAUUGGGACUGCUUAGGGAAAAGUCAGGACUGGAGGGGAUGGAGAUGUGUAUUUGGUGUCUAAUGACAACAGCAUGGUUAUAAAGCUGGUGGUAUAGUAUGAGAAUAGAAUUCUCCAACUGUAACCCAUAAUUUCAAGUCAUGUCACUGAAUGGGAACAAGAUAGAUUUGGGGACUUUUAGGGAUAUUUAGCAGGUUGAUUUACCAGGUUUGGGAACAGAUUUAAUAAAUUAAAAACAGGGUCGUGCAUGGUGGCUCACGCCUGUAAUCCCAGCACUUUGGAGGCCAAGGUGGGCAGAUCACGAGGUCAUGAAUCACGAGUCAUGAGAUCGAGACCAUCUUGGCCAACAUGGUGAAACCCUG
rnacentral:lncRNA from 10 species